rnacentral:rRNA from 1 species
AGAGUUUGAUCCUGGCUCAGGAUGAACGCUAGCGGCAGGCUUAAUACAUGCAAGGCGAGGGGGCAGCAAUGUCACCGUCGUACGGGUGCGUAACGCGUAUGCAACCUACCUAUCACUGGGGGAUAGCCCGGGGAAACCCGGAUUAAUACCGCAUAACACAGGGGUCCCGCAUGGGUACUAUUUGUUAAAGAUUUAUCGGUGGUAGAUGGGCAUGCGUUCGAUUAGCUAGUUGGCAAGGGUAACGGCCUACCAAGGCGACGAUCGAUAGGGGAGCUGAGAGGUUGAUCCCCCACACGGGCACUGAGAUACGGGCCCGACUCCUACGGGAGGCAGCAGUAGGGAAUAUUGGGCAAUGGAUGCAAGUCUGACCCAGCCAUGCCGCGUGCCGGAUGAAGGCCCUCAGGGUUGUAAACGGCUUUUAUUCGGGAAGAAGAGCGAGGAUGCGUCCUUGUGUGACGGUACCGAAUGAAUAAGCACCGGCUAACUCCGUGCCAGCAGCCGCGGUAAUACGGAGGGUGCGAGCGUUGUCCGGAUUUAUUGGGUUUAAAGGGUGCGUAGGUGGCUUUAUAAGUCAGUGGUGAAAUACAGCCGCUUAACGGUUGAGGUGCCAUUGAUACUGUAGAGCUUGAAACAAUUGGAGGCUGCCGGAAUGGAUGGUGUAGCGGUGAAAUGCAUAGAUAUCAUCCAGAACACCGAUUGCGAAGGCAGGUGGCUACGUUUGAUUUGACACUGAGGCACGAAAGCAUGGGGAGCAAACAGGAUUAGAUACCCUAGUAGUCC